rnacentral:lncRNA from 1 species
UCCAUGUCCAUGACUUGUGAAAUAUAGUCAUCAACUAAUACAUGUGCUAGUCUAAUAUUCAUGUGUUUCCUCACAUGAAUUCUGACUAGGGACAACUUUUAGAAUAACCAUACAAGUAAAAAGUUUCACACACAAUUCACAUAAUUGCAAAUAAAUUCAAGUAGCCUUGAAUGGAUAUUCAAGGAACACAAUACAAAACAUGGAUACAAAGGAAUAUCAUCAUCUCUAUGAUUGCCUCUAGGGCAUAUCUCCAAUAGUCUCCCACUUGCACUAGAGUCAAUCUAGAAGAUAUCUAAUACCCAUAGCUCUUAUGUGCGCAUCAUGCUUAGACUGCGUAAGAGGCUUUGUCAAUGGAUCAAAAAUAUUCAAAUUCGUCUGUAUUUUGCAUAUCUUGAUCUCAC